rnacentral:lncRNA from 1 species
CAAAUUGAAAACUGUACCUACACGCCUUAUUUUUAGUCCAGAUGUUUAGUAUUCGUAUUGUUAUCUUAGAAAGUCUUACUGAUUAAAAUACUACAAUUUAGUAGUGUCAAUCCUGUGAUUAUGACCCGUGUAUAUAGCAUAUUAAUCCUGAAUACACUGUUUGGUGGUGCGCCUGUCAGAUGCGGAACGUACAGAUAAGGUAAUAGGUAAAAGGUGAAUAUACUAUUGGUAUCGGUAUCGGACUCGAUCCGGAACUUCUUAAUUAUUGGCAAUACUAAUUACGUGGAAAACAAAAGGGCCUGGAGUGGUGUAAUUUUUAAUCUACACCUUUGUACUAUAUUAGUUAUAUAUAAAGUUGAAUUCUUUGAUUCGUCGUUUUUACGUGAUGACGGCUGACAAAUUGGACCUCGUUAUUUUAGUAUUAUAGAU